GAACCGUCACAACGGCUUCCUGGCGUGGCGGGGAUAGCACAACGGAGCG
rfam:Rhodovulum sulfidophilum DNA, complete genome, strain: DSM 2351.